rnacentral:rRNA from 1 species
UACGGAGGGUGCAGGCGUUAUCCGGAUUUAUUGGGUUUAAAGGGUGCGUAGGCGGGCCUAUAAGUCAGUGGUGAAAUCUCGUGGCUCAACCGUGAAAUUGCCAUUGAUACUGUAGGUCUUGAGUAUAGUCGAGGUAGGCGGAAUGUGUCAUGUAGCGGUGAAAUGCUUAGAUAUGACGCAGAACACCGAUUGCGUAGGCAGCUUGCUAAACUAUCACUGACGCUGAUGCACGAAAGUGUGGGGAGCGAACAGG